UACAGAGGUCUCAACCGUUGUUCGGAUUCAUUGGGCGUAAAGGGUGCGUAGGCGGUCGUGCAAGUCGGAUGUGAAAUCUCAGGGCUCAACCCUGAAACUGCAUUCGAUACUGCGCGGCUAGAGUGCGGGAGGGGAGACUGGAAUUUACGGUGUAGCAGUGAAAUGCGUAGAUAUCGUAAGGAAGACCAGUGGCGAAGGCGAGUCUCUGGACAGCAACUGACGCUGAGGCACGAAGGCCAGGGGAGCAAACGGG
rnacentral:rRNA from 1 species